AUAAUGGCUCUUUUAAGAGCCCCCAGGAUCUCCUAGGAAGAGCUG
rfam:Colius striatus contig11603, whole genome shotgun sequence.